rnacentral:rRNA from 1 species
UUUAAAAGCCCCCUACGUCAACUAUCCGCCCGGGUACUACGAGCACUAGCUUAAAACCCAAAGGACUUGGCGGUGCUUUAGAUCCACCUAGAGGAGCCUGUUCUAGAACCGAUAACCCCCGUUAAACCUCACCCUCUCUUGUCCUUCCCGCCUAUAUACCGCCGUCGUCAGCCUACCCUAUGAAGGAGCCACAGUAAGCAAAACUAGUACAACCCAAAACGCCAGGUCGAGGUGUAGCAUAUGAGAGGGGAAGAAAUGGGCUACAUUCCCUGCCCCAGGGAAAACGAACAAUGCAGUGAAAUACGCAUUAGAAGGAGGAUUUAGCAGUAAGCAGAAAACAGAGCG